rnacentral:rRNA from 3 species
GGCAUGCUGGAGGUAUCAGAAGUGCGAAUGCUGACAUAAGUAACGAUAAAGCGGGUGAAAAGCCCGCUCGCCGGAAGACCAAGGGUUCCUGUCCAACGUUAAUCGGGGCAGGGUGAGUCGACCCCUAAGGCGAGGCCGAAAGGCGUAGUCGAUGGGAAACAGGUUAAUAUUCCUGUACUUGGUGUUACUGCGAAGGGGGGACGGAGAAGGCUAUGUUGGCCGGGCGACGGUUGUCCCGGUUUAAGCGUGUAGGCUGGUUUUCCAGGCAAAUCCGGAAAAUCAAGGCUGAGGCGUGAUGACGAGGCACUACGGUGCUGAAGCAACAAAUGCCCUGCUUCCAGGAAAAGCCUCUAAGCAUCAGGUAACAUCAAAUCGUACCCCAAACCGACACAGGUGGUCAGGUAGAGAAUACCAAGGCGCUUGAGAGAACUCGGGUGAAGGAACUAGGCAAAAUGGUGCCGUAACUUCGGGAGAAGGCACGCUGAUAUGUAGGUGAAGUCCCUCGCGGAUGGAGCUGAAAUCAGUCGAAGAUACCAGCUGGCUGCAACUGUUUAUUAAAAACACAGCACUGUGCAAACACGAAAGUGGACGUAUACGGUGUGACGCCUGCCCGGUGCCGGAAGGUUAAUUGAUGGGGUCAGCGCAAGCGAAGCUCUUGAUCGAAGCCCCGGUAAACGGCGGCCGUAACUAUAACGGUCCUAAGGUAGCGAAAUUCCUUGUCGGGUAAGUUCCGACCUGCACGAAUGGCGUAAUGAUGGCCAGGCUGUCUCCACCCGAGACUCAGUGAAAUUGAACUCGCUGUGAAGAUGCAGUGUACCCGCGGCAAGACGGAAAGACCCCGUGAACCUUUACUAUAGCUUGACACUGAACAUUGAGCCUUGAUGUGUAGGAUAGGUGGGAGGCUUUGAAGUGUGGACGCCAGUCUGCAUGGAGCCGACCUUGAAAUACCACCCUUUAAUGUUUGAUGUUCUAACGUGGACCCGUGAUCCGGGUUGCGGACAGUGUCUGGUGGGUAGUUUGACUGGGGCGGUCUCCUCCUAAAGAGUAACGGAGGAGCACGAAGGUUGGCUAAUCCUGGUCGGACAUCAGGAGGUUAGUGCAAUGGCAUAAGCCAGCUUGACUGCGAGCGUGACGGCGCGAGCAGGUGCGAAAGCAGGUCAUAGUGAUCCGGUGGUUCUGAAUGGAAGGGCCAUCGCUCAACGGAUAAAAGGUACUCCGGGGAUAACAGGCUGAUACCGCCCAAGAGUUCAUAUCGACGGCGGUGUUUGGCACCUCGAUGUCGGCUCAUCACAUCCUGGGGCUGAAGUAGGUCCCAAGGGUAUGGCUGUUCGCCAUUUAAAGUGGUACGCGAGCUGGGUUUAGAACGUCGUGAGACAGUUCGGUCCCUAUCUGCCGUGGGCGCUGGAGAACUGAGGGGGGCUGCUCCUAGUACGAGAGGACCGGAGUGGACGCAUCACUGGUGUUCGGGUUGUCAUGCCAAUGGCACUGCCCGGUAGCUAAAUGCGGAAGAGAUAAGUGCUGAAAGCAUCUAAGCACGAAACUUGCCCCGAGAUGAGUUCU